AGUGAACGCUGGCGGUAGGCCUAACACAUGCAAGUCGAACGGCAGCACAGUAAGAGCUUGCUCUUACGGGUGGCGAGUGGCGGACGGGUGAGGAAUACAUCGGAAUCUACUUUUUCGUGGGGGAUAACGUAGGGAAACUUACGCUAAUACCGCAUACGACCUACGGGUGAAAGCAGGGGAUCUUCGGACCUUGCGCGAUUGAAUGAGCCGAUGUCGGAUUAGCUAGUUGGCGGGGUAAAGGCCCACCAAGGCGACGAUCCGUAGCUGGUAUGAGAGGAUGAUCAGCCACACUGGAACUGAGACACGGUCCAGACUCCUACGGGAGGCAGCAGUGGGGAAUAUUGGACAAUGGGCGCAAGCCUGAUCCAGCCAUACCGCGUGGGUGAAGAAGGCCUUCGGGUUGUAAAGCCCUUUUGUUGGGAAAGAAAAGCAGCAGGUUAAUACCCCGCUGUUCUGACGGUACCCAAGGAAUAAGCACCGGCUAACUUCGUG
rnacentral:rRNA from 1 species